UACGUAGGCAGCGAGCGUUGUUCGGAAUUACUGGGCGUAAAGGGUGCGCAGGCGGGCUGGCGAGUCUGGGGUGAAAUCUCGCCGCUUAACGGCGAAACUGCCUUAGAUACUAUCAGUCUUGAAUCAGCGAGAGGUUCGUGGAAUUCCGAGUGUAGCAGUGAAAUGUGUAGAUAUUCGGAAGAACACCAGUGGCGAAGGCAGCGAACUGGCGCUCGAUUGACGCUCAGGCACGAAAGCAUGGGGAUCAAACAGG
rnacentral:rRNA from 1 species